AGAUUGAACGCUGGCGGCAUGCCUUACACAUGCAAGUCGAACGGUAGAGUAGCAAUACUUGAGAGUGGCGAACGGGUGAGUAAUAUAUCGGAACGUGCCCAGUCGUGGGGGAUAACGUAGAGAAAUUUACGCUAAUACCGCAUACGAUCUAAGGAUGAAAGCGGGGGACCGUAAGGCCUCGCGCGAUUGGAGCGGCUGAUAUCAGAUUAGGUUGUUGGUGAGGUAAAAGCUCACCAAGCCGACGAUCUGUAGCUGGUUUGAGAGAACGACCAGCCACACUGGGACUGAGACACGGCCCAGACUCCUACGGGAGGCAGCAGUGGGAAUUUUGGACAAGUGGGCGAAAGCCGUGAUCCAGACAAUGCCGCGUGCAGGAAGAACGGCCUUCGGGUAGUUAAACGUCGUACUUUUGUACGGAGACGUAAAAGGUU
rnacentral:rRNA from 1 species